rnacentral:rRNA from 1 species
GAAACCCUGAUGCAGCGACGCAGCGUGCGGGAUGACGGCCUUCGGGUUGUAAACCGCUUUCAGCAGGGAAGAAGCGCAAGUGACGGUACCUGCAGAAAAAGUACCGGCUAACUACGUGCCAGCAGCCGCGGUAAUACGUAGGGUACGAGCGUUGUCCGGAAUUAUUGGGCGUAAAGAGCUCGUARGUGGUUGGUCACGUCUGCUGUGGAAACGCAACGCUUAACGUUGCGCGUGCAGUGGGUACGGGCUGACUAGAGUGCAGUAGGGGAGUCUGGAAUUCCUGGUGUAGCGGUGAAAUGCGCAGAUAUCAGGAGGAACACCGGUGGCGAAGGCGGGACUCUGGGCUGUAACUGACACUGAGGAGCGAAAGCAUGGGGAGCGAACAGGAUUAGAUACCCUGGUAGUCCAUGCCGUAAACGUUGGGCACUAGGUGUGGGGGGCAUUCCACGUUCUCCGCGCCGUAGCUAACGCAUUAAGUGCCCCGCCUGGGGGAGUACGG